UGGGGAAGUAAUUGUCACAAUGGGCGGAAGCCUGAUGCAGCGACGCCGCGUGAGGGAUGACGGCCUCGGUUGUAAACUCUUCUAGCAGGACGCGGUACCUGCAGAAGAAGAGCCGGCCAACUACGUGCCAGCAGCCGCGGUAAGACGUAGGGCGCGAGCGUUGUCCGGAUUUAUUGGGUGUAAAGAGCUCGUAGGCGGCUUGUCGCGUCGACUGUGAAAACCCGCGGCUCAACCGCGGGCCUGCAGUCGAUACGGGCAGGCUAGAGUUCGGUAGGGGAGACUGGAAUUCCUGGUGUAGCGGUGAAAUG
rnacentral:rRNA from 1 species